UACAAAAUGGUACCAAACCCUACCCAUCCAAAAUAAAGCUCACCAGCCGACACCCUUUUCUUCCUCCCUCUAGGUUCCACUGUGCAACACAAAAAAAAAGAAGAAGAGUUUUCAACUCUCUCUCCCUCAUCUGAAUACAGCCGGCUCCAGCAACCGGAGCCAACUCCGGCGACGAAACAAACAGCGGUGGUUGUUCCAGCCGCGACAUCCCCAAACACCUCACCCACUCCCCCCGACCUACGCGAUUUCGACACCACCCUCCGACAAAGAUUUGCGGCGGUGGCGAAGCUGGUUUCUCAUGACAGUGGUGGGUUCAGUUUGGUGCGAGUUCGGGACUCCGGUCAACUUUUGCGACACGAUCGGUUCGGGUCAGAUUUCAUGUUCAGGGUAAUCGUUCGUUCUCUUGGUUUUCCCAAUCUCUACUCAUGCGUUAAUUCAAGAAAUUCUCAUACGCAACCAAUGUUGAUGAUGAUGAUGCUAUGAAAUGAAGUAGCGUUGAUGCCUAGAUACACAUAUAU